rnacentral:rRNA from 1 species
UACGGAGGAUCCGAGCGUUAUCCGGAUUUAUUGGGUUUAAAGGGUGCGUAGGCGGCGCGUUAAGUCAGGGGUGAAAUACGGUGGCUCAACCAUCGCAGUGCCUUUGAUACUGACGUGCUUGAAUCCAUAUGAAGUGGGCGGAAUAAGACAAGUAGCGGUGAAAUGCAUAGAUAUGUCUUAGAACUCCGAUUGCGAAGGCAGCUCACUAAGCUGGUAUUGACGCUGAGGAGCGAAAGCAUGGGGAGCGAACAGG